AGCAGCCGCGGUAAUUCCAGCUCCAAUAGCGUAUAUUAAAGUUGUUGCAGUUAAAAAGCUCGUAGUUGAAUUUCGGGAUCAGUUCGCUGGUCGUGCCUUGGUAUGUACUGGUGUUACUGGUUCCUACCUUCUGACGAACCGUCAUGUCAUUAAUUUGGUGUGGCGGGGAAUCAGGACUGUUACUUUGAAAAAUUAGAGUGUUUAAAGCAGGCUCGCGCUUGAAUACAUUAGCAUGGAAUAAUGAAAUAGGACGUUCGAUCCUAUUUUGUUGGUUUCUAGGAUUGACGUAAUGAUUAAUAGGGAUAGUUGGGGGCAUUAGUAUUCAAUUGUCAGAGGUGAAAUUCUUGGAUUUAUUGAAGACUAACUACUGCGAAAGCAUUUGCCAAGGAUGUUUUCAUUAAUCAAGAACGAAAGUUAGGGGAUCGAAGACGAUCAGAUACCGUCGUAGUCUUAACCAUAAACUAUGCCGACUAGGGAUCGGAUGAUGUUAAUUUUUUAAUGUACUCAUUUC
rnacentral:sRNA from 1 species